rnacentral:tRNA from 12 species
CGGCACGUAGCGCAGCCUGGUAGCGCACCGUCAUGGGGUGUCGGGGUCGGAGGUUCAAAUCCUCUCGUGCCGACCA